GUUUUUUAAAUAUGUAGCUUUUCAUAGUCUACAAAUGUACUCCAGGCAAGUUAGCGACAUAAAAAGUUAGCACUGUUUCAGAAAAAAACUUCUCUGAGAGAAGUAGAAGUAUCAUCUGGAUCUAAGUUUACAAACUCUUCUGAACACAUCAUACGAAAGGAAAAGGCAUCAUGGAUAGCUCCACAACAAAAUCCAUUGGGAUAGCUGUUGCAUUUGGGAUCUUAGGAUUGUUCGUGCUAAUCUGUGUGGUGCAAAUCUGCUGCAAGAAAAAGUGCUGCAAGCGUAAAAAGCCUUCAGUGAAAGAUAAAAUUUUACAAAAAGUUGGGAUAAAGAAAUCCACGCCUCCAUUUUCAGUCAGCAGGAUCGUCGACAAGAAAUAACUGUCAUCACCGCACAUAUUAUUCUCUCGAUGCCUGUAAAUAGUGUAUAUACAGCCUAGAUUCACAACACUUAUUUACAUAUUAUGAUGUGAAAGUAUGUGUCGGUGUAUUUAUUUUCUUCAUUUCUUUGAAAAGUCUGAAUCACGUUUCUGAGGUGACUGUUAUUAGCGCUGGGGAUGUUGAUGAUUCAUCGCUGGUUAAGAUAACGGUCCCACAGAUACGGAAAAGCACAGCACACUUUCAUUGCUAUCGAGAUCGUUUAUCUUGUCUUUUAUUCUCAACGCCUGACUCAGAUUCUGUCUUGUUUUUCAAUCUCACCACUAAAAACACAGGACAGCUUUUCCUCUCAAGCUGAAUCGUUUCCACAUAAAUGUGAGUUCAAAGGCCACCCCUUAGACUGAUGAAAAAACUGUUGCUUCAGUUCCAGUACAUGGAUCAUGUACGUGUAUUUCUUAAUCGUGGAGGAAAUGAUGUCGGAUGAUUUAAUUCCUGUUAAGUAAUAUUAUGUGUGCAAUGUAAUGUUGAUAAGGACUCAUAUAUACCAAGUAUGUGGUUUAUAAAAAGGUGUGCUGUAAUAUUGAAAAAUGACUCUGUGAUGAGAAAAAAUAAAUAAAAUGUUU